rnacentral:rRNA from 1 species
UACAGAGGGUGCAAGCGUUGUUCGGAAUUAUUGGGCGUAAAGGGUGCGUAGGCGGUGCGGUAAGUCUGUUGUGAAAUCUCCAAGCUCAACUUGGAGCCUGCAACGGAAACUGCCAUGCUUGAGUAUGGGAGAGGUGAGUGGAAUUCCCGGUGUAGCGGUGAAAUGCGUAGAUAUCAGGAAGAACACCUAUGGCGAAGGCAGCUCUCUGGGACGGUACUGACGCUGAGACGCGAAAGCGUGGGGAGCGAACAGG